AACACGAAUGUGGUGAUAAUUAUCACAUGUUCGUGGUGCUCUUUUCUGAAGGUUCCUCAUAAUUUUCAGGGGAGAUGAUGGCGAGCUAAGACUUAGUGCGCCGUGCAGCUCCGCUUAAAAAUGGAUCCGCUUUUUCAGCGCUUUAUAAUCAGUGUUCAAAUCUUGAUUCGCUAGCUAACAUCCUGCUAUGCUUGGCCAUGCUGGAGGUAUUGGAGGAACUGAGCAAACUUUGAUGCUCCAGCCUCAACAUGUUUCUGAAGAAGUGAGAAAUAGACAUGUACAGUUGAAAAAAUUCACUCUGUUGGGAAGGAGGGAGCAGAUAACAGGGAAGUUAACACAAAUAGUUGCAAAGUAUUUGGCAUAUCUUUGGCUGAGAAGGUUCCAUCGAGCAAACAAAAUGAAUGUGGUGAUGCCAAUUACCCGUCCCCGUUCCUAUCUUUAAAGCAACAAGUGCCCAAAUCGCUGGGCAACCGUUGUGCCACUGUUCAAGAGCAAAGGCCUGUUGUUGGCAGGGUGAUUGAUCUUUCAACCAUGGAUAUGAUGAUCUGAUCUGUUAGUCAAAUUAUCUUGGAGGUGAAGAAAUGCUAGUGCUGCUUUCGUCUUCAUGUUAGUGGCACUUACAGCAUCUAAGCAUAUGAGUCUCAGGUUGAUGAUUGGGUCUGCUGAAAAUUAUAUGGAUGGAGAAUACUGAUCAAACUUGUAUCCUAGCUGUAGUGUUAGAGCGCUUUGUAUCCAUUGCUGCCGAACAAACAAAUGGACAGCAAGUUUGAUUCUGCUCGUUAGUUUC